CUUUAUUUUUCUGUUAGUCAUUCAUAAUGUACAUAAUUUGUCUGUAAUCUUAACAAAAGCCUCUCUGCUUUCAUUUACUCCAAAAUUCAAGGGAGGGAAAAGGUCUCAGAGUUGUAUGAAGACUGAAAGAACGUAGAUUUAUUUAUUAAUUUUUUUAUGAUAGGAAUGAAGUCAAUUGGUUGAGAAGUAUCUGAAGAGAAAACUGUGGGUAUUUCAGUUCCAUUUCUCUAAUAGCAAAGAAAACAGACUGGGAAAAUCUGAUAAUGCCCAUUUCAACAUGACCUGGGAGGGAAUCCAAGAAAGCAAGCUAUAGAACAGAUAAAUCACUUACUAUUAUGAAGCGUGGAAAGCACAGUGAUCUCAGAGCUAGACAAGGAAAUAAUCACUGUUCAUACUGUGUUUUUAAGCACAGUUAUCGAAGAGAGGCCUCUGGAAACUUAUUUUGAAAGAAGUAGAUGAAAUUAAUUCCCGCAGGUGAUUGCAUCCUGGCAACCAUAAAUGGCAGUGCUUUGGGUUAAAAGGCAGUGUGACCUUUGACCUAGAAGAGACAAGGAUCAUUGUGGGAACUGUCUCCACCCCUUUGUCUUAGAGUCCUCCCAGACUGAGCAAACAGGGCUGGCUAGUUCCACCCCAAGAUGCAGGGUUGGAGUAGAGAGAUUGAACGCGGAAAUCCUGAAGUCGGACUUAUUUUCUAGAGGCAGUAUCUGUGGGCCACUGCGGCUGCGGACACCUCCUCUGCCUACUGUGAUGAGUAGAAUAGUAGCUCCUCUAGAGCAACCAUCCCUGGAACCGGUGGAGAGGAUACCUGACAUGGCGAAAGGGCCUUUGCAAUGUGAUGAAGCAGCAGUUGAAAAGAGGUACAACCUUUCCACUCUGCCUACAAGAGGAGCUCACUGUGCCUCAGUCAACCCAGAGGACAGGUGUCAGCUCGCAGUUUAGAAGGUGCAACUUUGAGUUUCAUCUAGGGACAGGCAACCCCAAAACUGGGAACCUCAGCAAUGAGUCAGGGGCGUUAGAAGACACUGUAUAAACAUGGCAUAUCUUCUGAGAAAGUCAGCUCUACUCAAAGCAUAAUUCAAGACAUACUAAAGGACUUAACAAUGAAGAUGUUCAGAUUAGCAUUGUUUAAUGCACAACUGGAAAUUAAAAUAUGUAUGCUGCUGCUGCUGCUGCUGAGUCGCUUCAGUCGUGUCUAACUUGUUGCUACCCCAUGGACUGCAGCCUACCAGCCUCCUCCAUCCAUGGGAUUUUCCAGGCAAGAGUACUGGAGUGGGGUGCCAUCGCCUUCUCCGAAAAUACGUAUAGUGAGGUGUUAAGUAAAUUAUGGACAUUCAUACAAUGAAGUAUUUUGUGCUAUUAAAGGAUACAUCUAUGUUUAUGUGUGUGUGUAUAUAUAUAAAUAUGUCAUGUAAAGAUGUGUAUUAUAUAUUAUUAAGUGAAAAAUAAGACGGUAAUUCUAAUUUUGAUCAUGAUGAUCUCAUUGAACUGUUAUAUUUUUCUACAAUGUUCUUUAAGAAGAAAUUGUGGAACCUCUUUUCUAUUUGAGAUCUUUCUUUUUCUGUUAAUUAUUCACUUUAUUUUGGUCACGUUUUGAUGUUUGAUUUAUUAGCCAUAUCAAAAGUAAUAUUUACUUUUAGUAAAGAGAAUUUAGAAUAGAAAACUUAUUUCCUUAACUGUAUAACUACUUAUUCAUAAGAAAAGCAAAAAAAGAAAGAUUACCCCCAAUAAUGUUUCCACUUUAACAGUGCUGCCAUAAUAAUUUGAAUUUCUUGUGUACUCUUGGUAACCAGCCUGAUGUCAGUGUGACGUCAUUGGAGCAUCAGGAUACCAAGAAGUCACUCCUAACUCUGCUUGAGCAAAGCCGUCCUGUCUCUCUUCAUCUAUCAGCCCAGCAUCUUCUUGCAGUUAGUGAAGAAGUUGGAAGAGUAAAUAAUAAAUAGUGUCAUAUUAUCAUAAACCUUGCCUCCUUUAAAUGUAUGUGGAGAAAUAUUUUAUGAUUUCUGUAUUAAAUUUCACUUACAGCCUUAUGUUAUUAUAGCAGCAGACUUUGGCUAAAUGUCGGAUUCUAGGGUUGCCAUCCCACCCAGCUUAAUUUGAUGAAAAUUUAGAAUGCCCCUUUAGCAUUAAUGCUGCAUUUGAUAACUACACACACAUACUUGCGUGUAAACUAAAUCAGGGUUUCUCAUUCUUGGCUCUAGCGACAUUUGGGGAUGAAUAAUUGUUUAGUGGAGACAGCUGUCCUGUGCGCCAUAGGAUGCUUAGCAGCCUCCCGGGCCAGUGCUCACUAGAUGCUAUCCAAUCUACCUCUUCCUCAAUUGUGAAUAACCAAAGAUGUCUCCAGAAAUUGCCAGAUGUCCCCUGGAGUGGGGAGAUAACCCUGGCUGAGGUCGAUACGUAAGUAUAAUAUUCAUGGGCAUUAUUUUGAGAUGGUGACAGCAUGAUUAACAUCCCCUCUUCUGUCUGCUUAUCUUGUUCUAAUUUGUUUAUACUGAUGUGUAUGACUCUUGAUAUUUGAAAA